ensembl:lncRNA
UAGAGCCCCUGUGCCACGCCCGGGUCUCAGCCUCUGCAGCCUCCUAAUGGCCACAGAUUCUAAGGUGUGUGCAAAUUUUCAAGAGUUUUUUUGAGCAUGUUAAGGGCCCCAAAAGCCCCCACAACUUUGACGAAAAAUAAGAAUACUAAACCCUAAAUAGCCAACUUCCUGUUGGGCGGAGCCUAUGACAUGCAGUACGAAAGUUGUUUGGCUUGAUGAGAUCUAUAUGUGUACCGAGUUUCAUACGUCUACGUGCAAGUAUGUAUGAUAUAUGGCCCUCCAUAUUCCAGGGGGCGCUGUAGAGCCCCUGUGCCACGCCCGUGUAUCAGUCUCUGCCCGGCCCUAAUGGCCGCAGAUUCCAAGGUGUGUGCCAAUUUUCAAGAGUUUUUGAGCAUGUUAAGGGCCCCAAAAGCCCCCGAAACCUUGGAAAAAAAUUAGAAGAAUAAAGAAAAAAAAAAAAAAAAAUAAUCCUAAGGAAAACAAUAGGGCUCUUCGCCCUCCAGGCUUGAGCCCUAAUAAUAAUAAUAAUAAUAAUAAAAAAUAAUCCUAAGG